GCCGGCGUAGCUCAGUUGGUAGAGCAACGGUUUUGUAAACCGUAGGUCCCGGGUUCGAUUCCUGGCGCCGGCACCA
rnacentral:tRNA from 1 species